ensembl:lncRNA
CUGUCUGCCUGUCUGUCUGUCUGUCCUGGCCCAGCGAGCGGACGCGCAGAGCGAGCGGCUGCGGCGGGAGCUGCGGGCGCUGCGGGACGAGCGCACGGAGCUGCUGCGGCGAGCCAGCGCCCUGCGCGGUGCCAACGACCGCCAGGCCGGCCACAUCCGCCACAUCCAAGAUAAAUUGCAAAAAGAACAAGAGCAGAAAGUAAUACUGGAGGCAACAAUCAGCCAUUUGCAGAACUUGAUUCACAACCAGAACAACCAACAGAAGAGCCAGGAGGUGACGGUGCAAAGGAAAGACCAGGUUUUCACCACACAGACCCCAUCUCUCAUUCCUGCCAAGGAAAAACAAAGUGCUCUGUCAGAGCACCCUGAGGAGGAGGAGAAGGAGGAGGAGGAGGAGGAGGAGGAGGAGGAGGGAACUGAAAGUCUGAAGGAUGAGAUGCAGAAAUGGACAUUCCAGCUCACAGCACAGGAGAACGAGGUACCCGAGGAUGCUGGGGCAGAGCCGGGCCGUGCCCGGCCGCGGGCGAAGCGCUGCGGCGGCUGCAGCAGCCCAGGGGCGUGCAGAGCCCGGGGCGAGGGCCCCUGGCUGUGCUCGCGGUGCUCGGAGCUGCGCUCGGAGCUGGAGGCGCUCAGCCAGGAGUACCAGUCCUGCCUGACCCGGCUGCGGCAGUGCCGCGACGAGCUGCGCCGCUCCCACGGCGGCCAGGCGCAGAGACGGCGCGGUCCCUGCAUCCCUCUCCUGCUGGCAGUGGCAGCAGUGGCCAUCGCCGCCUUCCUGGCGAGUUACCGGCUGUGAAGGAGCUCCUUGGUGACUGACUUCACUGCAGGCACUGACCUCUGCUUCACCAAAAGCAACCUGAGCUGACCUCACCUUCUGUUUUGUACGUGCACGUUGGGUUCGUAUCCCGAGCUGUCUCACUGCAGACAGCUCCCGUGACUUCAGCCCUUCCCUCGGCUGCCCUGGUUACUCUGCUCCUGCCCAAGGCUGCCCUGGCAGUGCCCGAGGCACCGAGGGACAGAGCCCCUCUGCUGCUGUGGCCUGCACAGGGCGAGAGGGACAGGGCGUCCUGGGCAUCCUGCGCCCUUGGCAUCCAGCCUGCCCGGGGUUUAUACUCCCCAGGUUCUCCUCCUGCAUUUACUGCCUCCCUAAAUGGGAGGUACUUAGUCCUGAGCCAUCGCCACUCUUACUGACAAAGGAGCCCGGCUCAGGGGGGCUCUUCAGCACAGUCCCCUCACGUGCCCUGAGCAAUUCUCCCAGCUCACACCCAGCGGGCCCUGUUCUGUCCCACUCCUCCAGCCUCUCCUGUGGCCGAGCAUCCCCACAGCCACAGCUGCUUCCCCUCCACUGCCAGCACCACAAGAAUUCACCAGAGACGGGGAUUUAAAGUCCCUUUUGCAGCCACACUGCGGAGAUUCUACAGCAGCACUUGUCCCUCAUUCAUGCGCAGGCUCAGACACAAUGCAGGCCAUGACAUCACCUCACAUGGGAAGUAAAUAUACCUGAAAUAUAAACGUGACAUACACACACUGUACACAUAGUAAAUACACAUGGAGACUACAAUAAACUUCACUAAUUCAAAGCA